GAUGAACGCUGGCGGCGUGCCUAAUACAUGCAAGUCGAACGCUGGAGCUCUAGCUUGCUAGAUCGAAGGAGUGGCGAACGGGUGAGUAAUACAUAAGCAACCUACCCACGAAGACUGGGAUAAUCUCUGGAAACGGGGACUAAUACCGGAUAGGUAAUCGGAAGGCAUCUUCUGGUUAUUAAAGGUUAAAAACACUGGUGGAUGGGCUUAUGGCGCAUUAGUUAGUUGGUGAGGUAACGGCCCACCAAGACGAUGAUGCGUAGCCGGCCUGAGAGGGUGAACGGCCACAUUGGGACUGAGACACGGCCCAGACUCCUACGGGAGGCAGCAGUAGGGAAUUUUCGGCAAUGGGGGCAACCCUGACCGAGCAACGCAGCGUGAGUGAAGACGGCCUUCGGGUUGUAAAGCUCUGUUGUAAGGGAAGAACGGUAGAUAGAGAAUAUCUAAGUGACGGUACCUUACCAGAAAGCCACGGCUAACUACGUG
rnacentral:rRNA from 1 species